rnacentral:misc_RNA from 1 species
AUUACAAUUUACAAACCUAUAAUUUCUUCUUUUUGAAAAAUUGAAAACUUAAGUGGUAUAAAUAAAGGCCACUGUAAUUUAUUUCUGAAAUAGCUUUAAUAGAAAAGCUGUUGUGUAUUUGUCUUAGGGUUCUUUUUUGUGUCAGCCAACCAAUGUCUCUCCCUCCACAUGUUAUUAUUUUCCACCUUUUUUUUCACCUUUCUCUGAAGAAACUGUGAUGGGGUCACUUCAG